GCUGCCUGCUGCGCCGCCCUAUAUUAGUUUCUUCCUCUACGGCCUGUGGCCUAUAUUUCUACACUCUUCUUCUUUUAAGCCAUCUCCAUCGUGGCCUGUGUUUCUUACUCAAUGCACCUAACCCAGCUACCCUCUCUCUCUCUCUCUCUCUCUCUCUCUCUCUCUCUUAGCUGUCCACACCCUGCUUCUUUAAUUCAAUGUUCAACGAGGAGGGUCUGUGUCCUCAUCAUAACGAACCUCUUCAUAUAACCCCUUCGCAUCGGCUUCAGGUCCUCCCUCUGUAUUCAUGUCACACUCCCUUCAGAUAACUCUAGGGUUUCUUUCCUUCCUCUGAUCUCCUAGUUCGAUUUCUGCUUUCCAUCCAUGAAAUAACAAAAUGAUUUCUACUUACCGCAUCAUAUUUAUCUCCCAUUUCUUAUUUUCUUCGAUGUUUUCGUAAGUGAUUGUCUCCUAACCCCAGCUGCUUCAUCUAUACGUUUUUCCUUGUUUGCACGCACAAGAUGCGCAUUAUUUUCCCGUUCUUAGUGUUUUUUGGGUAUUUUGUUUAUUAUUUUUUUUCAUUUGCGGAACCAGAAACUGCUGUUCCGCGUCCUGAUUUCAUCUAUGAACUGAAGAACUUUCCAAUCCAACCUUUUCCCUCUUCUUGAUUUUUCUAUAGGAAUAAAAUAAUUUGGAAACAUGUUCCUCCCUGUUAAGACUUGAUAAAGUAGAAUUUUUGCAAUCUUCUGAUCAUAGUUUCGAAGCGGUAUCUCCAUUCUAUACAGGGGCAUGCUUAGAACUACUUUCCUGUACUUACACCAUGAUGAUCCAUCUGCUCCGAGACGAAGCAUCUUCUUGCUCAUCAGAAAAAGAUGUAGCAUACACUUCACAGCUUUCGUUUUUCAUUAUAGCAAGAACAAAACCUUGCAGGGAGUUGACCUGAUCUGUUUUUGUAUGGUCAAAGAAGUUCACUAGGGAAAAAGUGAAGCUGCCAGCAUGAUCUAUCUUUGGUUAGAGAAAGAAAGGACUAACCCUAGCUAGGUCAUGCUGUGACAGCCUCACUCCUUCCUAUUUGGGGACCCAUGAUAGAUUCCAGACGUUUCCUUCAAAUCUAGAAAGAAGGUAUAAGAAAUCACUACCACAGGCCGUGAUGUGAUCCAAGGAGAGCCGACCAGUUCAAUGGAUUGAGAGUAUGUUAGGUUGGGAGGAGAAAUAAUUUGCUCUUCUUUUAGGGCAUUGGUGGACUCGGUUUUCUGCGUGACACGUCCACUUUUUGGACUUGAAAUUAUUUAGGGGUCGAUGGAUACAAUGUCUCUGGGCUAAAGAAUAGAAAGAUAUCUUGAUGUUCAUUAUAUGUGGCGUUUUCAAUGAGAUUAUUGAUUAAUUAGUACCAUGUAAUUAUGAAGGGUUGUAAGAAGUCAAAGAUACCUUUACCUGUUGAAGAA